rnacentral:tRNA from 1 species
ACUUUAGUAGCUUAAUAAGAGCAUAGGAGUGAAGAUCCUAGGGUGAAUUAUUUUCCUUAAGUA